AUGGCGGCGGAGAGUAAAAAAUAGCCAAGGGAGAACGAAGUGAAGAAAAAAAGCCACGAAAAAACAGAGCAAGGCAGGAGCAACAGAAAAGAGGAAAAGGGGGAAAAUCUGGAAUUUGAGGAGAGGGACUUCGGGGUCAAAAGAGGGAGAGAGCAAGAGAGGUAGGAAAAAUCUGGAAAAUAAAGAACAAAAGGAAAAAAAAAAGAAACCGAACCAAAAGGCAGAAACUGAGGAGGAAUUUGGGGCAAGAAGGAAAGGGAAAAGAAGAAGAGCUUGGGCGGAAGAGUUGAAUCGUGUGGUCAGCACUUGAAUCCACCACCACCACCUGCGAAUUCACCGAGAUUAGCACUGUAAACUUUCUUUUUCUUCUCUAAUUUUCGAGUUUCAGUGUUGGAUUGUUGAAGCUUUUAUUGUU
rnacentral:lncRNA from 1 species